rnacentral:rRNA from 1 species
GUCGAACGGUAACAGGGAGCUUGCUCCGCUGACGAGUGGCGAACGGGUGAGUAAUAUAUCGGAACGUACCUAGUAAUGGGGGAUAACUAGUCGAAAGAUUAGCUAAUACCGCAUACGCCCUAAGGGGGAAAGAGGGGGAUCGCAAGACCUCUUGUUAUUAGAGCGGCCGAUAUCUGAUUAGCUAGUUGGUGAGGUAAAGGCUCACCAAGGCGACGAUCAGUAGCUGGUCUGAGAGGACGACCAGCCACACUGGAACUGAGACACGGUCCAGACUCCUACGGGAGGCAGCAGUGGGGAAUUUUGGACAAUGGGCGCAAGCCUGAUCCAGCAAUGCCGCGUGAGUGAAGAAGGCCUUCGGGUUGUAAAGCUCUUUUGUCAGGGAAGAAACGGUGCGGGCUAAUAUCCUGUGCUAAUGACGGUACCUGAAGAAUAAGCACCGGCUAACUACGUGCCAGCAGCCGCGGUAAUACGUAGGGUGCAAGCGUUAAUCGGAAUUACUGGGCGUAAAGCGUGCGCAGGCGGUUGUGUAAGACAGGUGUGAAAUCCCCGGGCUUAACCUGGGAAUGGCAUUUGUGACUGCACGGCUAGAGUGUGUCAGAGGGGGGUAGAAUUCCACGUGUAGCAGUGAAAUGCGUAGAGAUGUGGAGGAAUACCGAUGGCGAAGGCAGCCCCCUGGGAUAACACUGACGCUCAUGCACGAAAGCGUGGGGAGCAAACAGGAUUAGAUACCCUGGUAGUCCACGCCCUAAACGAUGUCUACUAGUUGUCGGGUCUUAAUUGACUUGGUAACGCAGCUAACGCGUGAAGUAGACCGCCUGGGGAGUACG